AUCCCAUGGUUAGGGCACUUCAUCAAUACAUCCUUGAAUCUCUCCCAAGCUUCGUAAAGAGAUUUGUUGUUAUGCUAGGUGAAGUUAUUGAUGUCAGAUCUCAGCUU